UUGCAGAUGCCGAAAUCGGGUCUGUUAAUUUUUCGCUGAAUAUCAGGAGAAUAGCCAUGAGU
rnacentral:sRNA from 1 species